rnacentral:rRNA from 1 species
CGAACGCUGGCGGCGUGCUUAACACAUGCAAGUCGAACGGAAAGGCCCUGCUUUUGUGGGGUGCUCGAGUGGCGAACGGGUGAGUAACACGUGAGUAACCUGCCCUUGACUUUGGGAUAACUUCAGGAAACUGGGGCUAAUACCGGAUAGGAGCUCCUGCUGCAUGGUGGGGGUUGGAAAGUUUCGGCGGUUGGGGAUGGACUCGCGGCUUAUCAGCUUGUUGGUGGGGUAGUGGCUUACCAAGGCUUUGACGGGUAGCCGGCCUGAGAGGGUGACCGGCCACAUUGGGACUGAGAUACGGCCAAGACUCCUACGGGAGGCAGCAGUGGGGAAUAUUGCACAAGGGGCGGAAGCCUGAUGCAGCAACGCCGCGUGCGGGAUGACGGCCUUCGGGUUGUAAACCGCUUUCGCCUGUGACGAAGCGUGAGUGACGGUAAUGGGUAAAGAAGCACCGGCUAACUACGUG